AUACGGAGGAUGCGAGCGUUAUCCGGAUUUAUUGGGUUUAAAGGGAGCGUAGGCGGGAUAUUAAGUCAGCUGUGAAAGUUUGGGGCUCAACCUUAAAAUUGCAGUUGAUACUGGUUUCCUUGAGUACGGUACAGGUGGGCGGAAUUCGUGGUGUAGCGGUGAAAUGCUUAGAUAUCACGAAGAACUCCGAUCGCGAAGGCAGCUACCCGGUACGGAACUGACACUGAUGCUCGAAAGUGCGGGUAUCAAACAGGAUUAGAUACCCUGGUAGUGCGCACAGUAAACGAUGAAUACUCACUGUUUGCGAUACACGGUAAGCGGUCAAGCGAAAGCGUUAAGUAUUCCACCUGGGGAGUACGCCGGCAACGGUGAAACUUAAAGGAAUUGACGGGG
rnacentral:rRNA from 1 species